AAACAAUAGAGAAUGUGGAAGCUAAGAUCCAAGAAAAAGAGGGUAUGAUUACCAUCAAUGCUAGCAAUUUGCAAUUGAUACAUAUACAAAAUAACUAGGAUAUUCUGAUUUAACUGUAUUGUUUGCAAAGAUUACAGUCCAUUCGGCCACAAGAUUUAAAUAUUCAACACAAAGAAGAUCUUGAUACUACUCUUGAAUAUGUGCCUGAAUUUAGUCCAUUGCGCCAACAAAAUGUUCCUCCAAAUAUGAAUGAUGAAAAUGUAUUUGGGGAAAAUAGACCAACAUCACCACGGUACAGGACACCUCCAAGAGGAAUAAUUUUAAAUUCAGAAGAAACAAUAAUGUGUGUUUUACUAAAACAUUACGGAUUAGGUUGACAUUGAUUUGUUUAUGACUUUAACUAAUGAAGAUUUAAUUGAAAUUGGUAUAAAAAAUGAAGCUGACAGGAAAGCUAUAUUAGAAGUGAUAAAUAGGUCAUAAAAAGUCAGCGACGCAAAAAGAAUUUAUAACCUUUUAUUAAUUAUAUCUAAUUAUAUAUUAUUAUUUUAUUUGUUAUAUACUAAAGCUGCUGUAAUGUAUAAAUUUAAAAAUAUAAUAUCUUAUGUU